UCUACGUCAGGACGACGGACUUCUUCAAGGCCCAGGUGAGAAAGAGAUCCCCCUGAGUACUGGCUGAGAGCCUUCGGCGUUCUUUGAGACUAGAGGAAUCCUGAAACCAUGGAUCACCUAUAUAUGCUUUGAGACAUGCUUUAGAUGUUUUUUCUGGAAGCCCUGCAACUGCCUAAAAAUUGAAUGUAUCAUUGAAAAGACCUAUGGUGAAGCGACUUCCAGUCAUUUGGAAAGGAUGGGAUGAAAAGGAACCUUGGUGAUAAUUUUGAUGUCUGCAAGAUUUAGUGCCAGUGUAAUGGGAUUAUCCGUAACACCUUCACUGCAGAAAAAGCCACCUGGCACUGUAACUGGCAGCAACUGAGAACUAAUCCUUUCCCAUCUCUUGGAUGUCAUUCAUGAAGCUCAAAGCGAUUUCUAUCCUGCUAACUAUGAUUAAUUUUAUAAACAACAACAACAAAAAUCAGAAUAAACUGAGAGAAAAUGAAGUGAAAUUAUCCCAUCAGUCACCCAAACAGUAUGCAACAUAACUGCCAAGACUGGAAAAGAUAAUUAGUGUUGUCAGUGUUAUGAUCCUGGAAUACUUUUAAAAUAUUUAUUCAUAGGACUUGAUUUUUAUCUUAUUGUGUUUUUUGAUUUAGUAGCUUUAUAUUUGAAAAAAUAGAUUAUAAAACCUUAAUCUUAAUGUUUUUAAACUUAAAAAUCUUAAAUAUAGGUGACUAAAGUAUUUUUGAAAUUAUAAGAAUAACUGAAAUAUAAUCAUCCAUUAUGCAUAAUAUAUUGAUUUACUUGUAGCCUCUGUUUAUGUGUAGUACAUUUUACUUUUCUCCAUAUGAGGUCUUUAUCUAAAAAAAUAAUAAAAUAUAAUAAAUUUAUGUAGCGAUCAUUGGUCAAACCUACCUAGCAAAUUUGUUAUUCUUAAUGAAUUUUUUUUUAACUGGUUCCAAGCUAUUGUAUUCCACAAUGUGUUUCUUCAUUGGUUGUCACAUUUAAAAUGAAUGAAUGAGAAAGCUUAAUAAUAUUUCUACUGAACUGCAUUAUGUUCGUUUAUAAAGGACUUCUUUAGCCUUCUGUUUGUAUUUUUACUAUUUGAAAAGCUGUUUAUGUAAAAUUCUAUUACACUGAAAAGAUCUAUUCAUGAAAUAAGUGGACUAAAAGCUUUUUCUUAUCCUCAUAAUUACUUGUAUUUUAAAUAUACAAUAUUUGGUUUAUGUGUAAUUUCAAAUUAUUUUUUCAGGUAGUGUAUUUCUCAGGGUAACUUUCUAUGGUAGUUAAUAGUAUUAUAUAAUU